GGGUCUUGUCUCUGAUUGGCUGGGCUGACUCUGUGUUUCCUGUAGAAAUGUUUGAACGUGUGAGACAGCAAAGCAGGUCUUUUAUCUUGUGAGCUGUUGUCAAUAUUCAGACACAAGAAUUCAAUUCUCAGCAAGUCGAAGAGACAGAAGAAAUGGAGAAACCCGUGGGCUUGCUCAUCCUUUGGCUGCAACUAGGCUGGGUGAGCAGUAAACAGGAGGUGAAGCAGAGUCCUGCAUCUCUGAGUGUCCCAGAAGGAAACAUCCUGGUUAUCAACUGUAGUUUCACGGAUACUGCUAUCUACUACCUUCAGUGGUUUAGGCAGGAACCUGGGAAAGGUCUCAAAUCUCUGUUGUUAAUUCAGUCAAGUCAGAGAGAGCAAACCAAUGGAAGAUUUAACACUUUGCUGGAUAAAUCAGCAGGACAUAGUACUUUAUAUAUUACAGCUUCUCAGCCUGCCGACUCAGCCACCUACCUCUGUGCUGUGAGACACAAUGCGCAGCAGACACCUGCAACUAAUACACAAAUGCUACAGCUGGGUUUCUAA